rnacentral:rRNA from 1 species
GAUGAACGCUGGCGGCGUGCUUAACACAUGCAAGUCGAACGAACAGGCCCUGCUCUUGUUGGGUGCUCGUUUGGCGCACGGGUGAGUAACACGCGUGUAACAUCCACUUGUCUUUCUGAUAAAUUCACGGGACUGCGGCUCAUAUCCGAUAGGAGCUCCUGCUGCAUGUUGGUGGUUGGAAAGUUUCGGCGUUUGUGGAUGGUAUCGCGGCUUAUCAGCUUGUUGGUGUGGUAGUGGAUUUCCAAGGCUUCGACGGGUAGACGGCCUGAGAGCGUGACCGGCGACAUGGGGACUGAGAUACGGACCAGACGCCUACGGGAGGCAGCAGGGGGGAAUAUUGCAGAGCGGGCGGAAGCCAGAUGCAGCAACGCCGGGAUCGGAAUGACGGCUUAUGGGUUGUAAACAGCUUUGGCCGGUGACGAAGCGUGAGUGACGGUAAUGGGUAAAAAAGCAACGGCUAACUACGUG